CCGUUUUCACAGGUAAACAGUGUGUUAUCUCUGUACACACAUUCGACAUGCGAAAUCCUCUUAGAGCCCUGAACUGUGGUGUGAUAGAGCUGUGACUCUCUGCGCUUACAUGCAGCACGCCGCUGAAACACAUACAAAAGAUGCAAGUGAAUGUGCCUCAACAUGUGCGACACUGCUCCCCACCCCCUGCUUAAAGUGUACUUUUGUCUGUUGCCCCCACAUCCUUGUACCCCCCACCUCUGUCUCUGUCUGUCUCUCUCUCUUUCCCUCAGAGGGGCCGAGGAUCUCGCACCAUAGCAGGGUGGGGUCACAACCUGAUGGAGUUGCUGAAGGACCUCAGAUUCCAGCUGAGCUUUCUGAUGUAGUGGGAGGACUUCGACCCAUCAAGGAAGUCCUGUGUCCGGCAUCAGCCUCCACUGGUCUGAGAAGCCCCAGGGGUGGGGGUGGCCAAAAGAGACGAGAGGAGCGAAGGAACAGGGAGAGCAUUGCUUUGAUUUAUGGAGGCCUGGGCACUUGGAGGGGAGAGGUGGCAUGGGAAGACAAGGAAACCCUGGCCCCCCUCUGCUGUCCAUGGAGGGGGUCGUGGGGCGAGAAGCAAUGGGACAUCCUGAAAAUCUAGGCCCCCCGCCCUACACAAGUCCACGGGGGAGGAUGUGGAGCUACCAGUCGUCACCCUCGCACCCGAUGCCUUGCUCCCACCCGAGCGAUAACAGGGAGGCGACAGAGUAAACCAUUAAGGGUGACAGUUUCACUUUUCUCCCCUAAUUACUUGUUCCUGCCUAUUUGGCAUUUCUUAGAAAAAUUUGUUGAAUAAUGACCGGCAUUAAAAUGGAGGCUCUUAACAAUUUAUACGCGGCGGUUAAUUUAUCACAUGCUUUCCGUAUCUCCUCACUGGAUUUAUAUCCAAAGUGUCUUCGCCCCCUCGGAUUAUGACAAGCCGUCACUUUCUUAAGGGCGCAGUGUGUGCGGAGGACAGAUCGGCAUGCCGCGGUGGCGUUUAAUCACAGGCGUCGUGGGGACGACUCCUCGCCGCUGUUUGUUUAUUGUUGCCGCGCUCUCGGCACAAAGCAAUUAGUACUGAUUGCUCAACGUCAUGGUGCCGCUGCUCUGCCAUCCACUGUGCUGCAGACCCCCACUGGCGAAAUGUGGACGGUAACGGCCGUUUCGCUGGAUCCGUGUGCCUGUGGGCACCUGAAGUGUGUGCCCAUCUUCAGACGAGUCUAUUGCUCCAGUGUGUCAGGUGCCGUUGAUGGGGAUUCAAACUCGACGUGAAUUCCUCUUGGCCUGUGUGCGACCAUUUUAAUAUAGCAGUUAUGGAUGCCUGUUGAAUUUAUGUCCUAAAUUAAAGGUUUGGCCCCUUCAGGAUGUAUUUAGCUGCAGAGGAGCCCCAACCAAGAUGAUGGAGGUGGAGAACACCAGCUCCAUUCUCCUCUUCAACAUCAAUAAGAGCAUAGAGGUUCUAACCUCUGCUGGAUUCUGGAUGGGGCCAUGGUUCCUUGGUGGUUCAUGAAUGUCAUACCACACACACACACACACACACACACACACACACACACACACACACACACACACCAGACCAGGGACUUUGGGCUGCUCCUCUGCUCUGUGUUCUGAACUCUCUCCCGCCUUAUAAAAGUAUGCACACCUUUUAGCUAAGCAUUACAAUGAUUUAUGUAACUCGCCGGGCCGAGCAUCCUGAGAGCCACCUAAAGGCUCUCGUUUAUUGCCGUUGUUUUUAUUAUUACCUUUGGCUUUAUGCAGGUAAUUUACUGCGUGGUCUCUAGAGCAACUCGUGACGCCCGCUUGCUUCAAGGGCGUGAGCUUGUGUCUCUCGUUGCAUUGCAAUGAUUUGACAGGAAUGGUGAAAAUGUUCAGGGUUUCAGCUGGAAAAAAGUGACCAGAAAGCUGACAAACUGAUGUUUUGUAGUCCUGUCAUUAAAUGUGGACAAGCUGCCCUUCAAGGAAAAAACACAACACCUGCAUCUUUGGAAUCACAGCAUCUUGAGGGGCAAUUAUUGAUGCAUUCCCCCAAGUGACCACUUUUCCACGAUUUGGUUAAAUCCCCAUCCCUUAAGGAAAAGAGGUCUUGCUGCAUACAUUAUUGUCAGCUGGGAGUUAGACACUCCAGUGUGUGACCUAAUGAAAUUACAGGUACUCCUCUCUUAAGUGGAAGCCGCUGCCCUCUGUAAAAUGUUAUGUAAAUUGCAUGCAAAUGCAUGGAAAAUAUGACAGCCAGUACUGGAAAGUAUCAGAAUUUAAACAGGUUUUAAAAGUUAUCAUUGGGAUAAGCUUGGUGUAAAGGUCUUGCCAUUUUUUCACUUUCUACCUGAACAGACUGCAGCUUUAGGGAAGUUUGGGAAUUAGUUUGAGACCAACCUGUGUUUACAUAGUUUAGGUGUAAUCUACAUGCCAGAAUGAGUCACCAUGUCUCAAGCCAAAUUGUAGGUACAGGUUCUGUCACAUGACUGGAUCAAUAAAUCAAUGACAAAGAUUGGCUCA
ensembl:lncRNA